rnacentral:lncRNA from 1 species
AUGUAGUCCGGCAUCCUCCUGGGGAAAGGAGUGUGCUGGAGCGCGCUUGGCGGGUGUGCUUCCCGCCGAGGGUCUCCCCAAAGCGCGAGGGGGGAAGAAUGGAGCCCCGGUGUGGGGGCAGGCAUUUAUCUGUUUGCACUCACGACCAUGAAAGGCUGCAUUUGAACCCACGAACGAACAGCUACUGCGGAGGCCGAGGCUUCGGCGCACUGAAGAAGUGGGUCAUCGUGGGCGUCAGCACAUGACAUCGGGGAACCCCAAGCGCCUGCGCGCUGGGCUCGGGAGUCGGCGUUCCAUCUCCCAUCUCCGAGCCUUUGCCCAGGCAGCCGCGCCGCUGUCCCCGCGUUACUGUAUCUGGGGUCCCAUAGCUGCCAGCUGUUGGCCUUUGGCAGGGGCUGAAGGGGGAUAGCACCCCCUUCUCGCUGCAGCUCCCCCUCCACGGGCCUCUGUGGCUCCCCCAAAGGAUGUGAAGGAUUUUCCGAGCCAGUCAUGCCGCGCUUCCCAGGUGGCUGGAGUUGUCUUCAUUCAAGGCCCACAUGAGACUCGGAGGGCUGGUGACGGUCCGAGGAGAUGGGCCCCGCUGAAUGUCUGGCUUAUUAAAUGCUCCCUGUGCGCCUAUGCCAGCAAAAAGAUUGGCGUCCGCUCUCAAGCAGCUUGCAUUCUCCUUGGGGGAGGGGAGGGGAAGGACCCGGGCUGGGUGCCCCGGGGGAGAAGGCCCUCCUGGCCACACCUGGCGUCUGGAUGCUUCUGGGGCCCAGAAGAGGCGCUCCUCCCUGCACUGUGCGGCCUGGGGGCCCAGCAACCACCCGGGGUGGGAGGGCCUCGUCGCUGCCCCCGGCCUGUCGUGGAGGAAGAAAGUGGCUCUUAAAAGGGCUGAUGAUGGAUGGCGGACGGCUCCUCUUGGAAUCCCCCCACCCCCCGUGGAGCUGCAGGCGGGACACGCGGGGCGGCUGGGAGGCACCCGGACCCUUCCCAUCCCGAUUCUGGAAGCAGUGACCCGUGAGGCCGUUCCAGGGGGUCCGGUGGGAGGUGAGAAGCGAAUGAGGGGGCGCAGCAGACGAGGAGGAGCUCUCUGGGCAGACUCGGCCUCACGCCUCCUUCUGAUCACCCCCCGGGCCCCACGGGAACGAGAGAAUGCUGGAGGAGAGACCCCAGGCCCGGACUCGCCAGGUGCGCCAGGUGGAGUGCCGGAGCCUCUGGGCCCUGACCUAAGGCCCCUCAGCGUGAUGGAGACCCCGAAUACCAGUCCUUCUUAGCUCCCGUUAGAGGCCUGGGAACGUGUAUUCAUAGGGUCAACGUGGAGAGGUGAUACGGGAUAAUGAAGAGCGAUGGAUGUGAUGACCUCAGUUCAGAUCCCGGCUCUGCUGCGGUAGCUGUGUGACCUCAGCUGACACGCUUCACUCCUCUGGGAGUCGGUUUUCUCAGGAGUAAAAGGAGGGUGUUGGACCAAAAGACCACCAUGGCCUCUUCCAGCUCUAAAGCCAUCAGUCUAAUUCUUAUGAAUUUGUAAACUAGUUAUCGCGAGCCUGCUGUGGGCACGGCCUCAGCUCUGUGCGGGAGCGUAAAGACAAAGCCCUCAAAGGGCUUACUCCAGAAUAGGAGACGUGAGACGAGUACUAAAUAAGUAAGGUGCAGAGCAGGAUGUGGUAAGAACUCUCGUCCGAGGGUAGGGCCGGCCCCUAAUGCAGGCUCUGUAAGGGGUGACACUUGCCAUGUGCCCUAGGUGGAGAUGGCCGGUCUACCAUGGGGCGUUGGAGUGGCGUCUAGAGCGGGAUGUAAGGGGGCAGAUCCGCUGUGCCCUAAUUGUGCCAGUUGUAGGGUGCCAUACCCUCCAGGAGAAUAGUGAGACACCAAAGAGCGAAGGGCUCCUAAGAGCUUGGCUAUGAAUAGGUUUUAUUAGAGUUAAAUAGGUUGAUAGGGUUGUUUAAGGGAGUUUACUCACAGGAUCAGUCGUCAUGGGUGGCAACAGGACAAAAUAACAUUGUGGAUCCCUGCACCAACCCCAGGCCAGGUGUUGCAUAAACGCAGAACAAAGAAGGCGUAGUGCCAGAGAUGGUCUCGGGUCAUAUGCAAGCGUCCCCAUGGAAUAGUUGGAGCUGGUUUUGCUGUUUAUGUUUACUCAAGGUAGUUUACAUUCUCUAAGACUCGAGGUCAUGUUCCUAGGCUCUGGCUACCACUAUACCACCCCUCAUGACCUGCUUAUAUAAUCUUUCUGAUAGUAUCUUUCACAAAGUUUCCUGAGUAAUACACAAGUGGGUUUGUUGACGUGAAGGAAGCAAUCCACAGCAGCAAUACCAGCUCAAUAGGAAAACAACGUGACCAAUAAGAAAAGCACCACAAUUGUUCCAAUUUCCUUCCAUCCCACCCCUAGGGAGGUGAAAGAAAAAUCAGUGGCCUUUGAUGAUUAGUGGCAGAACUGAACCUCCGUGAAGGCCAGAUGAAUUUCUGGAGCAAGUUCAGGGACAAAGAAACAUGGCUUGGGCAAUUUUACAACGUAUUGGGGUGACACAGAAUGUUACAAGAAUCGAUUACAAAAUGGAAUCACAAUCACUUGAUUUUUCUCAAUUUUCCCUUUUUUGUCAAUGGGAAACGUCAUCAUUUUUCCUGGUAAGUUAAUGUAAGAACAACCAGAAUGAUUAAUCAUAGUAUAAACCAUAGUAAGACUACAUAAAACCAUGGACUAAUUUCAGAGGGGAGAUUUACACGUCACCAAGAUAACUGAGAGAACUCAGUACACAGGUAGAGUAAAGCAAAAAGCCAAAAUAGUACAAUAAGAGCCAUCAACCCAUUCUCAAUGUCCAUUUAAUCAGCACAUUUCAUCUUGGAUCUCAAAUGUACCAUGUAGUUGUCUGGUCUCCGGAAACAUCUUUUCUUGGUCAUUCUAGGAUAGGUCUCUUCUUUAGUAGUUUUACUUCUCUGGUUCCAAGUUAUUUGGAGAGACUCUUUAGAUGUUCCUGCUAAAAUCUUUCACAAAACAGAUCUCAAUACAAGUUAGUAUAGCCUCUCAAAUUUGAUUUCUCCAGUAACUAGUUCAUGUGGUGAAAACAACCGGAACCUUGUGGCUCUGAUGUUAUCAACACAAGUGCUGGAAGGGCAACAUCAAAUUAGGAACCCGUAAUUCACUUGAAACUUUGGAGAAUUUAGGGUUUCACAUGCACCGUUAGAAUCAUUUACAUUUGACGUGUGAUUGUCUGAUCUUGUUGCUUUCUCAAAAAUUUUCCAAUUAAUUUCGGUUCCUUUAGGAAGGUCCGAUGCUAUUGAGGAUCUAAUCCUAUAUAUGAAAAUAUAGGUAACAACAGUUUUGGUAGGUAGAGACUUUCCACCCCUAGGUUCACAGAUGAAUUUUCUUUUUUUUCCUUUUUUUUUUUAAUAGGAUGGACGUACAUUUUCAUGUAUUUUAUGGACAUACAAUAAAUAUGAAAUAUACAGAAAAUUUAAAACA